rnacentral:misc_RNA from 1 species
AUGGUCUGGUGUUCAUCUAAUUUAGUUAGUGACUGAGUACCCUACAAAUCUUGUAAUUGCUGGUGUAGGUUACUAUGGUAAUGGAAUUCACUGUAAUUGCAGGAUUGCCCUGAAGUGCAUGCUAAUGCAGCAGAAACUUUGUGUGCCAUUACUCGAUAUGCUCCUCCUGGGAUUGCUGCCAAAAUCUCUAGCCCUAGUUUCAUUGAGAGGUUAUUUCGCCAUGCUCUGGAGGAGUCACGACCUAAAUCUGUGUUGGUUAACUCGUUAUCUGUGUGCAUAUCGUUAUUAGACCCUAAGAGGCUAGCUUCAGGAACAUAUUACAUGUACGGUCGCCAGUCAAUGCAGUGCUCUGGAGCAAGUGCAAAUCCUGAGACUGUGGAAGGGAUGUUGGGAAGCUUAGGUAAUUUACUGAAGCUUCUGGAUAUCUCAUCAGAGGAUAAUGUCUUGCCAACAACAUAUGGGAGCUUACAUCCACCUCUUGGGAAGCAUCGUCUGAAGAUUAUAGAGUUUG